AGAACGAACGCUGGCGGCAGGCCUAACACAUGCAAGUCGAACGCGACCUUCGGGUCGAGUGGCGCACGGGUGAGUAACGCGUGGGAACGUGCCCUUUGGUUCGGAACAACUCAGGGAAACUUGAGCUAAUACCGAAUGUGCCCUUCGGGGGAAAGAUUUAUCGCCAUUGGAGCGGCCCGCGUUGGAUUAGCUAGUUGGUGAGGUAAAGGCUCACCAAGGCUACGAUCCAUAGCUGGUCUGAGAGGAUGAUCAGCCACACUGGGACUGAGACACGGCCCAGACUCCUACGGGAGGCAGCAGGUGGGGAAUCUGCGCAAUGGGCGAAAGCCUGACGCAGCCAUGCCGCGUGAAUGAUGAAGGUCUUAGGAUUGUAAAAUUCUUUCAGCAGGGACGAUAAUGACGGUACCUGACAGAAGAACGCCCGGCUAACUUCGUGCCAGCAGCCGC
rnacentral:rRNA from 1 species